rnacentral:rRNA from 1 species
CCUACGGGCGGCAGCAGUAGGGAAUAUUGCUCAAUGGGCGAAACCCUGAAGCAGCAACGCCGCGUGGAGGAUGAAGGUUUUCGGAUUGUAAACUCCUUUUGUUAGAGAAGAUAAUGACGGUAUCUAACGAAUAAGCACCGUCUAACUCCGUGCCAGCAGCCGCGGUAAUACGGAGGGUGCAAGCGUUACGCGGAAUCACUGGGCGUAAAGGGCGCGUAGGCGGGUUAGCAAGUCAGAUGUGAAAUCCUAUGGCUUAACCAUAGAACUGCUUUUGAAACUGGUAUUCUAGAGUAUGGGAGAGGUAGGUGGAAUUCUUGGUGUAGGGGUAAAAUCCGUAGAGAUCAAGAGGAAUACUCAUUGCGAAGGCGACCUGCUAGAACAUAACUGACGCUGAUGCGCGAAAGCGUGGGGAGCAAACAGGAUUAGAUACCCGAGUAGUC